rnacentral:rRNA from 1 species
GUACACUCCUGCGGGAGGCAGCAGUAGGGAAUCUUCCACAAUGGGUGCAAACCUGAUGGAGCAAUGCCGCGUGAGUGAAGAAGGUCUUCGGAUCGUAAAGCUCUGUUGUUAGAGAAGAACACGUGCUAGGUAACUACUAGCGCCUUGACGGUAUCUAACCAGAAAGUCACGGCUAACUACGUGCCAGCAGCCGCGGUAAUACGUAGGUGACAAGCGUUGUCCGGAUUUAUUGGGCGUAAAGGGAGCGCAGGCGGUCUGUUUAGUCUAAUGUGAAAGCCCACGGCUUAACCGUGGAACGGCAUUGGAAACUGACAGACUUGAAUGUAGAAGAGGAAAAUGGAAUUCCAAGUGUAGCGGUGGAAUGCGUAGAUAUUUGGAGGAACACCAGUGGCGAAGGCGAUUUUCUGGUCUAACAUUGACGCUGAGGCUCGAAAGCGUGGGGAGCGAACAGGAUUAGAUACCCUGGUAGUCCCA